AUUGCCGCUGCUUGGCCCGAAAGUGCAGUCGCGCUAAUCCGUGGGCAGAAAAUGAACCAAUCGCUGAUCGACUGGUUCGUCAUAGGUCCUCCAGACAAACUGGGGAAGGAUCUUCUGCUGCUGGCGAAGACGCGUCUGCUUCACAUGCCCAAGCGCCGACUGAUUCUAAUAAUCCUCCACCUCCCAUCAGUACUGCAAACAAUACACAGCUGGCUCUAGUGCCAGUUCAAGUCAUAGACGAUAGCUCACCUGAAGUUGAGGAAUGUUCGCUCCCGGACACACCUCGCGAACAGGAAAUUGUAGUUCUUAUCAUGGAACAAAUAGUGCCUGAUUCGGUUCCCAUUUCUGGUGUGGCUGAUCAAGAACCAAUGCCAGUCGCCAUCCUUCCCGAACCACCUGUUCCAGAGAAUCCUGCCCCUAUCGAGGAGGUGACUGCGGCCGCUGUAGAGGUGCUCGGCGAAAAUCCUGCUGAACCAGAUGGCGUAGACUCGGAUAACCAAGAACCUGUCCCUGAUGCCCCCAAGCACCUGAAGCAGGAGAUGAAGUGAACCCUGAGUCGGUGCUGGAAAUGGUUCCUAUCGCGUAACCUCUCGAGAUUCCUGUUGCUGCUGCCCCAAAUCCGUUGCUUGCCCCUCCUUCUAGACUGGAAAGGCUGGCCUACAUACUUGAAGUGACUCCUCCUGGAGUUAUAGAUGAUGCCAGAGAAGGCCUACGUCGUCUCCUUGGAAUCGAUAUUCUGACGCCCAGAGCACCCGCGAGGGCUUUGGAGUAUCGGAGGGUACUUCUCCGCGAAGGAGCCAUCACUGAAGCCCAAUUCCUCGAUAUCGAUCAACUGCUGCAGGAUCUCCCCCAAUGGCUUAACGAGAAAAUGGCCGCGACAGCGCAGGCUAGGCAGACCCAAGCCCACUAUCUGACCCUUACUUAAUAGACAGACACCUCGCGCGAUUUCUUAGGCGACCGGGGUACUCUCAUCAGGGAUCUGACGGUUACGAGGAACCAUCUCAGGACCCAGAUUCAAGACCUUCAAGCCCAAUUAACUGAUGUGACGGCCAGGCUUGCCCAUGAAGAAGCCCAACUGGAGCAACCCUUGGCCGCUUUCGAAGUGCUGUCUCAAGAAUUGGACUAGGCUCGCCUGGCGGCCCAACA